UGGGAGGCCGAGGAGGGAGAAUUGCUUGAGCCGAGGAGUUCAAGACCAGCCUGGGCAACAUAGAGAGAACCCGUUUCUACUAAAAAAAAUUAGCCAGGUGUGGUGGCAUAUGGCUAUAUUCCCAGCUAUUUGGGAAGCUGAGGUGGGAGAGUCACUUGAGCCUGGAAGGUCAAGGUUGCAGUGAACCAUGAUUGCACCACUGCGCUCCAGCCCGGGUGGGAGAGUGAGACCCUGCCUCAAAAUAAAUUUUUUAAACAAAGGUAGGAAACAGUGGCUCGUGCCUGUAAAUCCCAGCACUUUGGGAUGCUGAGGCCAGGAGUUUGAGACCACCCUGGACAACAUGGUGAAAUCCCAUCUCUACGAAAAAUAUAAAACUUAGUAGGGUGCAGUGGCCCAUGCCUGUAAUCCCAGCUACUCAGGUGGCUGAGGCACAAGAAUCUCUUGAACCCAGGAGGCAGAGAUUUCAGUGGGCUGAGAUCCCACCACUGCACUCCAGCCUGGGUGACAGAGUGAGAUUCUGUCUCAAAAAAAAUAAAAAUGAAAGUAUAAAUAAAAAGAACUGACCCAAAGUUACACAAUGGGGCAAGAACAGGGCAAGGAUUUGAAACUGCACCUGCAGCAUCCUGUCCACUACACAGGCCCACCUAAAUUCUUAUAUCCCAUUCAAUAUUCUUUUAUCAGUGCUUACUCUGCUUUCCCUCUUCCAGCACAGAAAUUUUGAGGAAAGACAUGAAAAGCCCAGGAAAAAUGGAAAGCGUUUAGAUGCACAUUUUAUUAGCAGGUUCACUCUCUCCUCUCUCCUUCUUUCUUUCUCUUUUUGUUAAAAAGCAAGAGGCAAAAGAAUUUGGCACCAUUUCCAUCAUGUUGAUUCUUCUGGGUUUCUCAAAUGUUGUGAUCCCUGGAAAGCCGGGAUUCAUGCUUACCUCCACUCUUCAUUAAGGCGGCCGUGGCUGUGAGCUGGGGAAGACAGGCUGCUGGUGCGGUGGGUGGGCGUGCUGAAUAACACCCGAACCACAGCUGUGGCUGCCCUUGUCAGAGUGCCAGCCUGCCUAACCCAGUCUGUUCUUGCCUGCUACCUGGCCCUCGCCCAUCUGCUGCAGAAUUCAUAAAGUGCUGAAGAUCACAAACAUCUGAACCUAUUAUAGGUAACAUACUUCAAUUACAUUCUGAUUGUGGGCUUGGCUUCCCCCAAGCCUGGUUUGUAAUGGUGCACAGAUCAAAUUCUCCCCACAAAAGAAGCACUCAUCUCUAGGUAAUCUCAUCAUGUUGGGUGUGCUUAAGAAAGAAGCCAUUCUCCUAGAUGCUGCUUUGUGUUAUUCAGUUACCUGGCAAAGGUUCCCCCAGAUGUAAAUGACAGAGAGAAAGAGAGAGAGAUGUAAAGGACAGGGAGAGAGAGAACUGACUUAAAAUCUUUUCCCAUGAACUUACCAUGUUUGUGUAUGGAUCUGUAGUUUGCUUUCUCCACUAUGGAGCAAGUGAUUUGUUAGUUGAAAUGACCUUAGCUCUCCUGAGGCUUAUCUAUCUUGGUUGUUGGCUUAUAUCACGCAAAUUAUGACCACUCUUCCAAGGACAUCAAAGAAUAAACUGCCCAUAUGUCCCUCAGACUGUGCUCACAUGUCUCUUGCCUUGCCCCUCCCAAGGAGCUCUGGGCAGCACUUACCAGGCAUAGUACCCUGAGCUGGAGCAGCACUCAGGUUGACCCAGUUAGAAGCCUGACAAGGAGGACAUCUCAGCCUCUGUUCAAGGCUGCUUCCACUUUCGUUUUCUACUGAACUUGCAAACAAGCAGUUAAAAGAAACACACAAAUGCCCAGCUGAGCCAUAUUAGAGCAUAAGGCAAAAGGAAAAAUCAGAAAUAUCAGUACUGAUUUUAUUUAAAAUGUUAGUAUUUUAUACACACUGAAUUUUUGCAUUAAUUUUGAUUUUUCAACAUAUUGCAUCAGAACCUGAUUUAUCUUGAUUAUGGAGUUUUUUUGGUGUUCUCUUAAAUUUUGUUCCAAGUCCCAGCCCCAAUAUGCACCCAUUGAGGAGUAAGACGCUGGAGUAUUUAUGCAUCAACUCCUGCCCUCAUUGGUUGGUUGUUGCUCAGGGAGCAUUAGUUAACUCCACAGCACUUCUAGCUUGCCCGCUGUGCAGGUUAGACAGGCACCAUCAGCGUCAGCCACAAUGUCUGUCUUGGACUAAUCAUCUUGGCCAGAGAGAAGUAGCGUGUGAUUGGUAGUCCUUUCCAGAAAUGAUGUGGCUUGAAGGAGCAUUUCCCGAAAGAAGGCUUUGUAUUCUGAGCAGCCCUGUGUCUCCUGAAUGCUCUACAUAGCCCUUUCUUAGAUAUUACAAGUCAAUGCAUUCCUUUUUUUUCCCCCUCAAGAUAGUUUGAGUUGUGUUUAUGUCACUUGAAACCAAAGAGUCCUGACUCUUGCAGGCAGACAGCUGAGAGUAGUGUCGAGCCUCAUUAGGGUAGGGCAACAUAGGUGUUGGGGGAUGUAUUAGUCAGCAUUCUCUAGAGGGACAGAACUAAUAGUAUAUAAUUUAUUAGGAGAAUUGACUCACACGAUUACAAGGUAAAGUCCCACAAGAGGCCAUCUGAAAGCUGAGGAGCCAGGAUGCCAGUCAGAGUCCCAAAACAUCAAAAGUAGGGAAGUCUAUGGCUGAAGGCCCAAGAGCCCCUGGCAAAUCACUAGUGUAAGUCCAAGAGUCCAAAAGUGGAAGAACCUGGAGUCUGAUAUUCGAGGGAAGGAAGCAUCCAGCACAGGAGAAAGAUGGAGGCCAGAAGACCUAGCCAGUUUAGCCUUUCCACGUUCUCCUGCCUGCUUUUAUUCUGGCUGUGUUGGCAGCUGAUUAGAUGGUGCCCACCCGGACUGAGGGUGGAUCUGUCUUUCCCAGUCAACUGACUCAAAUGUUAAUCUCCUUUGGCAACUCCCUCACAGACACACCCAGGAACAAUACUUUGCAUCCUUCAUUCCAAUCAAGUUGGCACUCAAUAUUAACCAUCACAGGGGACCAGUGGAGUAUUCCUGCAUUUGGGGCAUCAUGGGGCUUUACUUCUCUAGCAUGUCAAGGUAGGCUGGAAGAGAAUUUGGAGAUCCUGGGUGGCUCACUCUAAUUGGGACUAACAAUAGCAGCAAACGUUUAUGGCACAGUAUGGUUCUAAAUCAUGUUCACCCUCCUAUUUCUUUCCCCACCAAGGCUUAGAGGUACAGGCAAGGCAAGUUAUACAAUCCCAACUUCACGGAUGAGGAAACUAAGGCUUCAACAAUGACCCACCUAUAGCUAAGUGGUAGCAGAGGAUCUUGUCUUUUAAGUCACCAAACUCAAGCAAUGAGACAGAACAAUGGGGCUCAUUUUGAAGCAGAUUAUCUUCCUGUUAUUCUGUUGAUGUAAACUUUAGUUCCUUGGUUCUAUUCCACGAAUUCUGUAUGAAGUCACAAGUAAUUGUCAGUGCUUUUCAGAAACAGGGACCUUGUCUUUGUCACCUAAUCUGCAGCUCCCACACAAUUCCUGGCAGGGAUAGGUGCUCGGGCAAUGUUUGUUGAAUUGGAUUAAUACUGAGGAAGGAGAAGCUCAGAAAAUUUCUGGCACUAGGCUACGCUGGACAUUUAGAGGAAAGAUGAAAUGCUAAGAAUAGGUCUGCCAUCCACUUAAUGAAUGUACUGUGCCAAAUGCUGGAUGUACACCUCACCUGUAUAGCAACUGCAUAAAGUAAACAUCGUUCAUCCUGUUAUACAGAUAAGAAAAGAGAAGUUCAGAAAGAUAAGGAUCUUACUCAGUGACAGGACUGGGACUGAAACCCAAGUAUGCCUGACUCCCAAAUCUGUGUUCCUGAAUCAAGUGUGCUCUGUCAUUUGGAAGCUAUACUAAGUCAUCUUGCAAUUCCAUAUAACAAGCUUGAUAGAAUGAAUAGCCUGGUCUUAUUUAAGGAGUUCCUUUUCCUCUCCUAUCCUCUAGGAGGACUCCAGAGUUCUUUGUACUUUUGCAAAUGACGGGUGGAGAAGCACCAGAGGUUCUGGAGUUAGAGUAGGUUGGAGGCAUUUAGGGAGAGUUUGGAGAAGGAAGCCUAGGACAGUAUGGAAUAUGAGGUGACCAGGAGAAGGAAAAGGGGAUACAAGAGUGUUACUGGGGGCUUACGAAUUAGAUUCCUAUUAAAUCAGUAAAUAUGCAAUUAUUUUUUGCUUAUUUGGAAGGUGCAUAUUUGAAUGCCAGACUGCUGGGAACUAAAGGAUGUGGGUCAAUGGAGUGUCAUAGGAAGGUCAGUUGAGCUGCCCUGGAGGGAUCCAGGUAGAGGCUGGGCAGCACCCCAGUGAACGUAGGUAGGGGAUCCAGGCAUUGACUGGAGGAGAGUUGGACCACAAAACAUUUCCAAUUUUGUGUAUCUCCAAAUCUCCCACUCUGGCUAAGCAUGAAGGCAGCCUAGCCAUUUUGCUCAUUCCUGCCACAUGUAGUUCCCCUCCUGCCUUAUCAAAUGUUUAUCUGUCCCCACCUCCCAACCCAUCUUAAUUAUUUGCAAUGAUCCGUGAUAGACACAUAAACAACUCUGCAGCUUAAAAUUCCCCCAUCAGGCAAAUAUGAAAUUAUUCACAUUUUUCUUGCAGGUUUUUCAUGAAGCAAGUUGGUGAUGAAAUGACUCUCAAACGCCUUCCCCAUUUUACGCUGGGGAUUCUGCCUUUACCCUUUAAUGGGUGUGUGUCUUCAUGCCUCAGCUACACUGAGCGUUCUCCUUCCCUGUUUAUGUUUAUUUUGGAAGCAAAAUGUGUUUACAAAAUCAGUUAAAAAGUGUUAAUGAUCAGUUUCCAGAAUACUAAUGUGAAUUCAAAUUACUUUCACAUGAAUCAAGACAAAUUAAAAAAUGCCAUUUGAUCACAAACUGUUUUAAAUUUGUGUUCUAAGUGGCGCAGCAAAUCUGAAUAUACGCUUUUUAAAAAGAGCAGUUUAAAAUAACCAUUCUGAUGGCAUGAAGCAGUUUUGAAUAAGAAGUCUCCUUCCAAGAGGAAAGGUCAGCUUUUGGGCAUUCAUAUGGGAGAAGGUAUGGGGUGACAUGUGCCCCCCGCUUCCCAGAGAAAAAUAUUGUUUGUAAUUGUCAAAAUUAGGACUGAGCUAUAAAAUGUUCAUGAUUUUCAUCUGUCUUGUUCACUACUAUUUUUCCAGUGUCUGGACCAGAGCUUGGCACAUUACAGGCACUCUAUUUGCAGAAUAAAUGAAUGAAUAAAAUCAGCUAUAUAAAUUAUAAAAUUUAAUCCAAGAUUUUAUUUGCUCUGAGUUAGUAUAAAAAUUUUGAAGUUCAUAGCAAGACAGAGUAGAAAAAUGAGGGCCAUGGCAUGGAAAAGUCACCAAUUCCAAAUCCAUGUAAUAUUCCUCCUUCUUGUGCUCUCCUGGCCCAUGCUGGUGACCCAGUAAAGUUCCUUCUGCCAAUAGUAGCUUCUGACAGUCCGAGACACAAGGGACUAUGUUGGCUUAAAUGUGGCUUUUGCAGAAUCACAACUGCUGUCUACCUGAAUUUACCUGAAUACCUUUUUCAGUGGUUCCACCUCCUACCUAUAAUGGAGAUGGGGACUUGUGGGGUGACAUUGUGCCGCUUCCAGGCUUUUAGCAGGCAACUUCUCCUGGCUCGGAUGAUCUAGAGCAGUGAUUUUCCAGCAGUUCCUGGGGGUCUGGUGAGAAGAAGACAGGCCUGGAGUUGAAGGAGAGAAAAAAGGCUGGGCUGGCCUGUUGGAAGGAGACUUCCACCUCUGCAAGCAUCCCCAUCUUGUUUGGAUUGCAAACUCAGUUGCCAGCCAAGCAAGAUGAGGGGAACGGCUUUGGACUCGGGCUGACUUGGACCACAUCCCAUCUCUGCCGCCAUCUGAGCUCUGUGACCGUGAAGUGCUCCUACCACCCUUCUGAGCUUUUGUUUUCUUCACCUGUAAAAGUGCAGGAAGAAUACUUACCUGUCACCAGAAUAUUCCAAGAAUUAGAAUUAAUGUUUGGAAAGUUGUUGACACCUAGCAGGUACUCAAAAAAUGGUGGCUAUUACUACUACAUUCUACAGUCUCUGCGCUACUUUGAAAGGACUUGCUUCUAGGGGAGCUUAUUUCUAAUGGGGAGAUAUUUUGGUUUUGAAGUAAAAUCUAUACCGUGUUAGAUGGGAGGUGUGCUUUAGAGAAAAAAUAAAGCAGGGAUGGGAGACUGAGAUGGCUGGGGAGCCUGAGGAAAGCCCCAUUUAUAGGUCUAAGAAUGAGAGAGAGUUUCUUUCUUAAAUUCCCUCUCCCUACUUUAUCAAAGAGAUUUUACUUCCAAAUAAGUGUAAACGGGAAAAGGGAACAGAGCCUGAAAGACACUCAAAACAGACACUCAAAAAUGCUGUCCUAGGGAGUCAGCUGGGGUGUCAUCACUGACGUGGGACUUAGGGUGUUGAGCUGGAGUCCUGGUUUGUCAUUUGAAAAGAGAAAUCCUGAUCAAGUUGUUGUACUGCUCUUUGACUCUAUUUCCUUAACUGUAAAUUAGAGGUAAGAAUCCCUGUCUCACGUGCACGAGCAGGAGAGGCUUUCUGGUCUGUUGGGAUUCUCAGAUUCACAAGGAUCAGGACGUGGCCAUUGAAAGCUGCCAUCCCAAGAGGCAAAACUAUGGAAGAUAGGAAGGAAAUCCGUACUUACCUCACUCUGCUCCCUCCUCCUUUCCGUGCCUGCGUGCACACACACACGCAUGCACACACCCUGAGGUUGUCAGGGGACUAGAGGUGUUGUCCUUGAAAGUGAAAGUCAUUCCAAGGCAAAGGAAAUGUACUGGUGUUGAGAAGGUUCGGUAGGGCCCCUUCCAACGGGAAUGGCUGACUCGCCAUGUCCUCUAAAGAUGCUGCCUUGAUUCGUGGAUUUCAGCAUUGUCCAAGCUCUGUGGCACCAUGGACUGGUUGUAUGUCACUGACAAGCAAAUGCUUAGUCCUGUGCUGUAUAUAUUUACUGUACCAUAUAAAUAAUAAACACUAAUAACUCACUUCAUCCUUUACGAGUUCCCCAUCCAUUUCCUGCCAUUUCUGGAACUUUCAUCACAUGCUAGAUGGUGUUGCUGACGUUUAUUACUGGUUGCUCAUAUAGGGUGAGAAAUCAUUGUUGCCUCAUGAAUAGCUAGCAUUUUUUUCCUCUUUCAUUGAAAAGUUAUUCUAACUCAAUCUAAAUUUCCAACAACCAGGAAGUAUUUAAAUAAGUCAUCUUCCAACCAUCUCAUGAAAUUACAUAACCACUAAGAAUCAUGAUUUUAAAAGCUAUUCAACAAUACAGGGAGAAAAAUGCUCACAUCACAAUAUUAGGUAAAAAAAGCAAUGCAGAAAAUCAUCUAUCCAGCGUGAUCCGAUUUUGCCCAUACAUUUAUAUGUAGAUUUAUGUGGGCACAUUAAAAGACGUGGCAAAAAAUGUUAUUUCUGCGUGAGAUGGUGGUGGGUGAUUUUUAUUUUCCACAUUUUACAAAUUUUCCACAGUGGACUUUUGGAAGCUGAAAAAAUAGAUUAUUCCUUUAUUUGAAAAUUUUACUUUUAAAGGACAUUUUCAUAAAUUUAUUUUUAAAUGUUAUUUCUUUAAAACAUUUCAAGACAAUCUAAUACAUAUAACAAUAAAAACGCCAGCACUAAUGUCUGCCUGACAGUGGCCAAAAUGGGUGAGUGUGAGAGAGAUGGGUUUGGCAGUCACUGUGAAACCAGCAAUGAGGUUAACUCUGGUUUGGGGACUAUGUCUUCGGGAUCUGUGCUUUGUUUUGUUUUUUCCCCUCUAAGUAUGGGUGUUCUAUCCACAACAUUCACAGUCCUACAUGUAGACAUAUGACAGGUGUAUUUUCUGUUUUCAGAUUUAUAUCCACCUACAAAAUUACCCUGUGAAAGCCCCAUCACUCACAGAAACUAUUGCUGAGGAGGAGAGGAUGAUUUUAUUUAGCUAAUUUUUAACAAAUCUCCAAUGUUGCCCACAUCUCCUGAAGCUGGGAGGAGGGAUAAUCAAGUCAAGCCCCAUUGACUAGGAGAAUAGUGAACUGUGGAAAAUGAGUUCUCAGCACGCCACAGGGCCACAACUCCAUUUAAAGAACACGUUCAUUAUUCAGACACUCGGCCUUCUUCCGGGGCUGUUGGCCUGUCCCCAGGGCUGCCUCCAUUCCCAGGGGCCCUGCAGCCUUCUGAGCCAGCCUCAUACGCAUGUUGGUGCUGGCAGCUGGUGUGGAGCAGCUCCAGGCACCACUGCAGUGGAUCCCUGUAGCAGCGCUGAGAAGGACACGAGCACUUAACUGAUGUUUUCGUUUUACAGAUGAGGAAACUGAGGCUCUGAUGGACGCUGUUGCAUGCCAGGGUCACACAGCCAAUCAAGGAUAGCUGUACCCACAUGUUUUCACUCCAAGACCAUUGCCAUUUCUAAUGUGUGAAGCAUCUUCCCUCCACUGGUCCAGCUUUAGAAGAUGUGAUUCUGACCAGCUAGCUUAUGUUAAGAUGGAUAUUUAAAAACCAGCUGUAAACAAAGAUAAAAACAGCAACAACAAAAAAAGACAGACUUCCAGAAUAAUUAUUAAAUAAAAUAUAUAAAAGAUUGCAGUUUUGAGCUAUCUAAAUGUGAGACAAGCAUAAAGGCAGACAGAGCUGAAUUCAAACCUUAGCUUAGCCACUGCCUAGCUGUGUGACCUUACACAAUAUACUUAACUUCUCUGAGCUUCAGAUCUCUCAUUAAUUGUACAGGGAUUGUAAAAUCCGGCUCAUGUGCUUGCUGUAAGGGCUUAGCAAGAUAAUAGAGGUGAAAACUCUCCUUUCACUCUGCCCAUAUAGUAGACCCUCAAUAACAUAUAGUUAAUUUCUGUCUCCUCUUCCUCUGCCUCUCCCUCCUCACUUCUCAUUUUUCUUCACUGAUUCUUCCAGCAGUUCUGAAAAGGGGGGCAGGAUGAUUCAUAUGUUCAAUAAACAUCUAAGUGCCAAGCAUUAUUCUAGAUGCUGGGGAGAGAGGGCACUUUGGAGACUCAUAACCCCACAUGGUAACCAUCAGCAGGAGUGCCAGAGGGGCUCACACUUUUGGAGGGGUGCAUCCACUUUGCUUUCUUACUUUAUCCAUCCAGCUCCUGCAGGCAUUUGAGUUUAUGGCCCUGAUCUAAGGUAACGUUAAUCAAGAAUUUUCUAAGACUCUGUGGAAGCUGUUAGGUUACUCCCAGCAGGACCUGGUUUCAGGAGGGGCUCUAGUUGCAAAGCUCAAACCUAUCAAAGCUGGCAUCCAUCCUUUGCUGGGAUGCCUGGGAAAGACUGCAGCCCAAAAGACUAAUAAAUGAAGUGGUUGUCAUUAACUAUGUAUUAAUUCAUUCAUAAGUCACCCACCUCACAGUAUUAGAUGUAAUAGAUUCUAGGUACAUAUAGGGUGCUAGAGAUGUAUAUCAGUGAAGAAAUCUUUGUCCCUGGUCUUAAGGAGUUGACAAGUUAAGCAGGCAUACAAGCUUAUAAAGAAAUCACUACAACAGAGCAUGAAAUUUGUGAGUCUGGGUAUAGGGUACAGAUGAGGAACCGCGGGAAAUGAGGCUGAAGAAACAGACGGUGUUCAGAUCACACAAGGUUUUGAUGACCCUUCUAAGGAGCAGAGAUUUCUUCUGAAGCAAAGAGAAACCAAUGAGGAGUUUCGAUAAAUGACUUCCCCUUCUCCAAAUCCAUUUUCUUUCCAUAGUUAAUAAUUUAUUUUUUGAAAGUACUAGAAGGGGACUUAGAAAUCAUCUAGUCCAGAGGUAACAAACGGGAUUCAUCUGAUGAGCCAACUCUGAUCAGAAGGUGGGAGCUGUCUGUGUUGAGAAGGAUUCUGCAGCCAAGUCUAGGCUCAUUAAAACCACAAUUGAUUCAUGAUGUCUGCCACAUACAAAGAAAGGAAAAGGUGGCAUCCACCCUAAGAGUUGAAUUAUCAUCUUUUUAAAGUAAGGACAUUUCUUUGCACAAGUCACACAACUAGUUGAUGCCAGAGCCAGGCCUAGAACCGAGGACUCCUGGGUUGCAGCAGAGAACCUAUUCUCUGCACCAUCUUCGCUCAGUCCUCCUUCGUGAGCAGGAGCAGAGCAGGAAACCUGGUUCCCAUGACAACCAGCCUCUAUGUCUCAUAGGGUAUCAAGACCAUCCAGCCAGAGAGUGCUAAAGUAAUAGGGGGAGCGCUUCUGUCAUGUAACACUGUGUAACAAACCACCCAAAGUCUAAAUGUCUUACAAUAGUUUAUUAUUGUCUCUCAUGAUUCUGUGAGUUGACUGGACUCAGUGGGACAGUCUGCUGGUCUGGCUUGGGAUGCUCAUGCAGUUGCAAUCAAACGGCAGCUGGUGUUGGAGCUAUCUGGAGGCUCCACGGGUGGGACUGUGAAAAUGGCUUCUUCCCUCACACCUGGCACCUCCAUGCCCCUCUACGUAGUUUCUGUCUUCAUCAGGAGCCUCACCCGCCACGGCCUCUGCAGGGGUCUCUCUCCAGUGGAGUAGCUGGACUUCUUACACAGUAGAUGGCUUGCGAGAGUGUACAAGUGGAAUCUGCUAUGCCUUCUUAAAGCCUGGAAGCAGUAGAGUGUGAUUUCUGCCACAUCCUGUUGGUUAUGGGUGAGUCACAGGUACAAUCCAGAUUGUUUGGAAGGGUGGGAGGGGACUGCACAGGGAUUUGAACACCAGGAGUGCUUCAUGGGGACUGGCCUGGGGGACAAACUACCACUGGAGUGAAAGCAACGGAAACCCAGCUGGAGUCUCAGUUGUUCCACCAGUAAGCAGGUGGCCUUGGCGAGGCCUGUCGGGAUGCCAGUUUCCAUCUCUGGACGGUGUCCCAGAGGGGACAAAGCUCCCGCCCUGGCAGUUAGUGCUUCUUCUCCUCCGCCUUUUCCCCUGCUCUCCCCCAAGACUUCUCAGGACAGUUUCUUCCUCAGCACUAUUUUCCUUGUGGUGGAGUUGGAAGGAUAGAAACUCUAACCAGCAGUCAGAGAGGGAUUGGCACUGGACCCGACGUCUCAUUAUGUUGAACAUCAUUGUGCCAACCUAAGGGAAACGGUGCGGGUUGUUUGUUAUCGAUGGCAAAUCUUCUUCCAAGAGUGGCGGGCCCUUCCGUCAACAACACAAAGUGUCCUCGCUCCCGGCCCCCUUUCCAGCCCUGUGACUCAUCAGGCCUCUAACCUCUUUUUCCCCCACAGUGAGAAAUAUCCAAGUUGAUAACAGCAAAAACUUGAUAAUGACUAGUGUUGGGAAGAGAUUAAACUACUUGUAAUUCCAAAUUGUUCAAAAUCAACUCUCCUGACCUGCCAGGAUAGUGAGACUUAGAAAAACAAAAACAAAAACAAAAGCAGAAAACCAAAGCGGCAAAAAGAAACAACUUCAGAACACAAAUUUAAGACACGAAUUUUGCUCAGUUCCUAGUUUUGACUCUGAGCAAUGGAGGUAUUUCUAACAAAAGAAAAUCUCCACGUCCGUCCUAUGUUUGGAAUAUUCACUGGUGUGUAAUUCCUAGAAGUGUGCUGAGAAUGAUUUCGAUAAAGAGAAAGGUGCUUGACUUCUGAGAUGCUGAGAAUGAUCUGUUUUUAAGGAACGUUUUUCAAACGUGAACAGGCCAAUGAGAGAAAUGGACUGCCCUCUGUUGGACAGAGAUAGCAAAAUCAGCCAGGGAUGGAGGAGGAAGCUCUGUGGCAGUGGCUUCAGCCUUCUUGAGAAGGUCCUCUUGGGAUCUUUUAAUUGUGAUGACACAGACCUCUCAUUUAAAUGUGGCCCAAGAAACACAGAAGUAAAAUUUUAGAGACAUCCACAUAGAUAAGAUUUGCAUUUCUACAAUGUAUCCAGCUAUGUGUUUUCAGUUUUAACAGAGAAAUGUCAAAAAAUAUACUAGUAAAGUGCAGGGUUUAGGGAGAUACAUAUGUUAAUAAGUAUUUGAAGUUGAAGAAUUGGGACUAGAGCUACUCUAUUCCUAAGUUUAUCAAACACAGAAAUGGCUCAUCUGACCUAAGAUGCUGUAUCCUGCAAUGAUAAUAUUACCUCAAAGGAGUUUUAGAGACUCAAACUGUCACUGUCUGUUUGAGGAACACAGUCACUAAUUAAGCUUAAAUGAUGCUUUCCCCCACAAACAUCCGUGAUUAUUAUUGUUUUCUGCUGGCCAGGUCACCUACGGAAUAUAAAGAAAAGCAAAUCCAGGCUUUGGCCCUCCCAGGGGAAUGAUCAUGUCAGCAAGAAUUCACAAGGACGUUGACUCCAGGGAAGGGAAGAGGCUAUUUUUGUUCAUUCACCUGCAGCUAGAGCUGCUCAGAGCAAGAAAGAUUCAGCUAUGUUCUACUUUUGCUUCCUUUCAAAACUAGAGAGCCAUUUUCCCAAACACCUGUUACCCUUGCUUUAAAAAUAUCUUGAGAAGAGUGGAACUAGAGAAAGGAAGGAGUGUGAGGGAAAGGAUUACAGAAGACAACAUGUCUUCUGUGUGAAUGGUCUUGACAUUUCAUACAACAAUUAAGAAAUUAGCAAAAAAAAAGGCACUCAUCACUUGGACUCAUUAACUCCACUUCUAGGAAUCUAUUCACAGAAAUACUGGUAGAAACACCCCAAUGUGGCUACAAGAAGGUCCACUGAAGCAUUGCUUGUAAUAAUAGCAAAUUAGAAACGACCAAAAUAUCCUGAAUAGAGAACUGCCAGAAUAAAGAUGUUACACAAUGGAACACCAUGCAGCCAUUUAAAACAAGGAGGUUCUCUGGGGGCUCACACGGACAGUGCACCACAAUAGGUUCAGUUAUUAAGUGACUAACACAUGUUGCAUAACAGAAGUGCUGUUUUCCAUUUCUGUAAAUAAAAUUGUAUUAUUAAUUGUAGUUUGUUGCUUAAAACGAAACCUGGAAGAAUAUACACCAGUCCAUUAACAGUGGAAAUCUCUAGGAGUUGGGAUUAUGAAAGGUGGCUACUUCUUAAAUGUAAUCGGUCCAUAUUGUUUCACAUCUUUACCACUAGCAUAUAUUACUUUUGUUAUCAGAAAAUACAGUUAACAUUUGUUUCAUUGGAUAGAUAUGAUUUUCUCUCAGCAGAAGUACUAUAGGAAGCUACCCAUUCAUAGGUAGGAAGCACUUCACAUUAUCACUUUAAUGAUAGAAUUAAAUUGCUCAAGCAAAUCACAAAAAGAAAAAUCAGAUGAAAUAUAUAAUGUAAAUGCCCAGUGCCUGGCAUAUAACAGGUAUUCAAUAAAUAUUUGCUCAAUGAGAGAAUAAAUAAAUGAAUGAAUGAGGA
rnacentral:lncRNA from 10 species